rnacentral:tRNA from 1 species
CAAGUGGAUCAAGGCAGUGGAUUGUGAAUCCACCAUGCGCGGGUUCAAUUCCCGUCGUUCGCC